rnacentral:Y_RNA from 1 species
GGCUGGUCCGAAGGUAGUGAGUUAUCUCAAUUGAUUGUUCACAGUCAGUUACAGAUCGAACUCCUUGUUCUACUCUUUCCCCUCUUCUCACUACUACACUUGACUAGUCUUAA